UACGGUGGUUAUGACGAUGAGGCCACACCUGUAACCAUUCCGAACACAGAAGUUAAGCUAAUCAGUGUCCAAGAUACUUGGCUGGAGACGGCCUGGGAAAAUAGAUCGCUGCCGGAU
rnacentral:rRNA from 1 species